AGAUUACAANCGAAACUGCGAAUGGCUCAUUAUAUAAGUUAUCGUUUAUUUGAUAGUACCUUACUACAUGGAUAACCGUGGUAAUUCUAGAGCUAAUACAUGCUGAAAAUCCCGACUUCGGAAGGGAUGUAUUUAUUANAUUCAAAACCAAUGCCCUUCGGGGCUCCAAUGGUGAUUCAUGAUAACUUCUCGAAUCGCACGGCCCCGCGCCGGCGAUGGUUCAUUCAAAUUUCUUCCCUAUCAACUUUCGAUGCUACGGUAGUGUCCUAGCAUGGUUGCAACGGGUAACGGGGAANUGGGGUUGAACCUUCGCNGGNGCGGGGNUGGGAAUUAAAGAAGUUAUAUGAGUCGGANAGGAGUCAUUCNGAUUUCGGUCCCAUCAACUCUCAAUGUCAUNAUAAAGUCCUACCAUGGUCUGNAUNGGUNACGGAGAAUANGGUUAUCCANGUGUNGGUAUCNAUGGACGACUUAUAUAANGAGCAUUGGUUGGCUUNGUAUUGCUUAUNCUUAGACAUGNGUGGNUUAUCUUNGANGNAUAUGANUACAG
rnacentral:rRNA from 1 species